rnacentral:lncRNA from 1 species
AAAAAGAAGAAAAGAGGAAGAAAAGAAAAAAGAAAAAAGAGGAAGAAGAAAAGAAAAAGAAAGAAGAAAGAGGAAGAAGAAAGAAGAGGAAAGAAGAAAGAAAAAGAGGAAAGAAGAAAGAAGAAGAAGAGAAGAAGAAGAAGAAGAAAAGAAAAAGAAGAAGAAAUAAACAAAGUGUGCCAAGAGCUCAAAAGGACCAUACCUGUUGGACGGGAUUACAGGCCCUUGGACCCAUCCUCAUGAAAAAGAUCAGUGUACAAACAUUUGCCUCCUGGGCUCUGCAUGACUGUGCAUUUCAGUAGAAUCACCUGGAGGUCUGUUAACAGUGAUUUUUUAAAAAGCCCUUAAAUGAUGGUCAUCUUCUGUUCAGGUGGCUCCACACGCUGAGGUCCCACGUGCCUGAAGGUCUGGCCCCUCCGGUUACAUGGCUGUGCACCUCCUGGGGGCACUCGGGGCUGCGUUUGCUUUCUUCCUGAUAUUUUCUGUUAAAAACAAGAAUCUUACUUCCUCUGUUGCCUAA